rnacentral:rRNA from 1 species
CAGUAGCGUAUAUUAAUACUGUUGCAGUUAAAAGGCUCGUAGUCGAACUUGUGGUCGAGGUGGUGGGUGUGGGCGCCAAGCGCGUCUCGCGACCCUCCCUGAGACCAUGCUCCUUGGGAGUGUUGGUGCACUUGAUUGGGCACUUGCACAAACAAGGUCAUUUACUGUGAGAAAAUCAGCGUGUUCAAAGCAGGCUUGCAAAGCUUGAAUGUUGUAGCAUGGAAUAAUGAGAUAGGACUUGGGUUUUAUUUCGUUGGCUUGAGAACCAAAGUAAUGAUUGACAGGGACAGUUGGGGGUGCUAGUAUUUGGCGGUCAGCGGUGAAAUGCGGAGACCUGUUAAAGACUAACUCAUGCGAAAGCAUUCACCAAGGAUGUCUUCUUUGA